rnacentral:lncRNA from 1 species
AUUUGGAAGCCUGCAUACUCUGGUGUUCAAGGAGAUAUCAGUGUGGGAGGAAUGGGAUUGUUUUGGAGUCGAAGGGGGGGAGUUCCCUAGUCUCAAUGAGCUCCGUAUUGAGAGUUGUCCAAAGCUGAAAGGGGAUUUGCCCAAGCACCUUCCUGUUUUAACAAGUCUGGUAAUUUUAGAAUGUGGGCAAUUGGUGUGUCAGCUUCCAGAGGCACCCUCCAUUCAGAAACUGAAUUUAAAAGAAUGUGAUGAGGUAGUGUUGAGAAGUGUUGUCCACCUGCCUUCAAUAACUGAGUUGGAAGUGAGUGAUAUUUGUUCCAUACAAGUGGAAUUGCCAGCGAUUUUGCUUAAGCUCACAUCCCUCCGGAAGUUGGUUAUCAAGGAAUGUCAGAGUCUUUCCUCUCUUCCAGAGAUGGGGCUGCCCCCCAUGCUUGAAACCCUUCGAAUAGAAAAGUGCCGCAUUCUAGAGACCCUACCAGAGAGAAUGACUCAAAAUAAUAUCAGUCUCCAGAGCCUGUACAUAGAAGAUUGUGAUUCUCUUGCGUCUUUGCCCAUCAUCUCUUCAUUGAAAUCACUUGAAAUCAGGCAGUGUGGGAAAGUAAAGUUACCCCUUCCUGAGGAGACCACGCACAACUACUACCCUUGGCUUACCUAUUUAUGUAUGUAUAAAAGUUGUGAUUCUCUCACGUCCUUUCCAUUAGCCUUCUUCACAAAGCUUAAGACACUUCAUAUCUGGAAUUGUGAAAAUCUGGAGUCCUUUUACAUUCCAGAUGGACUUCGCAACAUGGAUCUCACAUCUCUCCGAAGGAUACAGAUCUGGGAUUGCCCGAAUCUGGUGUCUUUUCCACAAGGAGGAUUGCCAGCUUCCAACCUGAGAUCCCUUUGGAUCUGCAGUUGCAUGAAGCUUAAGUCACUGCCCCAACGGAUGCACACCCUCCUUACAUCGCUUGACGAGUUGUGGAUAAGUGAAUGUCCAGAAAUUGUUUCAUUUCCGGAAGGGGGUUUGCCGACUAAUCUAUCUUCACUUCAUAUAUCGGACUGCUACAAGCUUAUGGAAUCUCGGAAGGAAUGGGGCUUACAAACGCUUCCCUCCCUUAGAUAUUUGAUUAUCAGUGGAGGUAUAGAAGAAGAGUUGGAGUCAUUUUCCGAGGAGUGGCUGCUGCCCUCCACUCUCUUCUCUCUCGAGAUUCGUAGUUUUCCAUAUCUGAAAUCCCUGGACAAUCUGGGGCUUCAAAACCUCACAUCUCUGGGACGUUUCGAGAUUGGUAAGUGCGUUAAGUUAAAGUCCUUUCCGAAACAGGGGCUGCCCUCCUCCCUCUCUGUUCUCGAGAUUUAUAGAUGUCCUGUGCUGAGAAAACGGUGCCCAAGGGAUAAAGGGAAAGAAUGGCGCAAGAUUGCUCAUAUCCCCCGCAUAGAAAUGGAUGGCGAAGUCAUGGAGUGAUGAGGAUGCCAAGUUUGAAUCAGGUACUUGAGUUGAGUCUAAAAUUUGAAGAAUUUAAGUGUUGAAUUAGAGAGAGAUUUGAGGGCAUAUUUAUUAUUUAUAGAAAUUGGAAUGAUAUAAAAUUUAUUUAUUUAAAAGUUGAUAAAGAAACAUAUACUUAUUAGUAGAAAGUGAGUAUAUCCCACCUUAAAACACCUAUCAAUAUAAACUAUAAAUUCAAGUCUAAUAUACACCAUAAAUACCAUAACACUAUGAUUUAUUUAAUUUUAGUGAGAAUGAAUCAUCACGCAUCCAUUAUGAUCUUGUAAUUUUAGAGAUUACAUAGAGACAAGUAACUUUGGGUAUGUUUGGAAGUUGUUUUAAAAAAAAGAAAUAAAGAAAAUUUAUUUUUAAGGACCAAAAAAAACAUGAAAACAUGUAGAAAACAAAAAAUGUGGUGUAUUUUUAAAACAUAUUUAAUUAUUUUCACUUGUUUUUUAAAAAAUGGCUUAAAAAAUAAAACACUACAAAUAAAAUUUAUUUUUCAAAAAUGUUUUAAAAAUAUUUUAAAUUCUCAAAUAUACUUUUAUUCUAUAAAAUAUUAUACAAUAUUUUUUAAAAACAAUUCUCAAAAACUAUUUUCAAAAAUAUUUUCCAAGCAAAUUUAUGUUGUUUUUUGAAACAAAAUUAUGUUGGGAACUUAAAAUGUUCGUCACCUAUUUUUAUGUUUUUAAAAUUAAAUUUUAUUUGUAGUGCUUUAUUUUUAAUCAUUUUUCAAACUAAUACAUUUGAAAACUUAUAAAAAUAAUUUAAAAAAAAAGAACAAAAAUAUAAACAACUGAAAUAGGUUCUUAGAAAAAUACCAUGGUUUCUAUUUAAAUUUUUUUUUGUUUUGUUUUUUAGAAUAGAAAAAUUAUUUUCUACAAAAAUGCUAACAAAUUUUAUUUUUUUUUGUUUUUUUUUUGUUUUGGUUCUUAAGAUUAGAGAGUUGUUGUUAAAAAUAGAUUCCAAACAUACCCUUUAUUUCUUGCAUACUUUGAUAUGUUCUUUUAUCUAUAAGUUUCCAAUACUUAAAACUUAUAUGCUUUGCUUUUAUGUAGACUUUUAUUGGUAUUGACACUAAGAGGUUCAACAAUGGUCUGCAGAAAAUGAAUGGAAUUGGAAUUGGAUCUCGAUCUACACCUCUGUUCCGGAAAAUCACAAUCUAUGCUCACCUGUUCAUCACCUGCUGAGAAUAAUCCCAAAUUUUCUUGUAAGUAUGAACAUGGCUCUUGGUAUUAUUUCGAUCUAUCACUUGAUCAAUAGUAUUGUGUGUAAAAAGAGUAACUGAGGUGAAUGUACAUUUGGAAGGAUAACAUUUGUUACUUACAACCCAAUUGCAAUUUGCAUGUUCUCAACUUCCUAUCUAUGUUGCCUUUUGUAAAGCAAUGAGUAGCACAAUAAAAAUGGGAGAUACAAGAAAAAUAAUAUAUGGGAGAGCUUGGCCAAGUUCAACUUCAACUUCAACUUCAUUGUCCUUUAGAGAGUAAUCUGCUUUAUCUUCAAUAAAUGCUUCAAAAAAAUUCUGGUAGCCUGUGUUCUUUGAAGGAAGUUGACUUGUAACCUUCAUCAUUUCCAUGGCCUACCAAAAAUGAAAGCAACGCAGAAGAAUAAGCAUGAUGAAAUUAGUCAACUUCAAAAUGUCAAUGACAAAUUAUUGGGACAAAGCAGGAUAUAUGCAACAUAUUUUUGAGUCUUCCAAAUCAAGCAACACAUCCCAUUUAGCUUAUGAACUAUAUUCCUUUUCUGUUUUUUUCCAUUUACUUCAAGAGUAGUUCAAACCUAUGUAAAAAGUACACCCUCCAAUGCAACGUUUUUCACUUGUCUGAUACAAAAAUGUGUGCAUUUUUUUUUUACUUUUCUUUGUUACUAUAAGUUCAAAAUUUUUUUUUGACUCCUGAGCCUUGAGGCCAUACAAACAGGCACUACAUUAUUUUGUGCAGUCCCUGCUUAGUUACCUGGAAUCCGAACAUGAACUGUAUGGCUUUCUUGCUCACUAGGGCAUUUGGGUGAGUCUGAAGCCUCUCAUACAUAACUCGAGCCUCAUCUGGCUUGUCAACCAUUGCAUCUAUUUCGUAUCCUUCCAAUAACUAGACAACAGAAAUUUAAUAUUACUUAGCAGUUUUCAAUUUCUAGUCAAGAGGCCCCAAUUCUAAAACAAACUCAAUUCAACAUGUGAAAUCUAAAAUAAUUUGACAGAAUCAAAUGUUCAUGAAUUACUUGAGUACUGUAGAUCAGGACAGUGAUUCAAUGAUUAUUUGCAAACUUCCCAAAUUAUCUAGGACAACAAAUGUUCAUAAUAGUAUCACAUUUGUUCUUCCUUUCCUAUGAGUUAGACCCAAUAUCUUUCUCCAACUCUAAACAGCACAUAAACACAUGGCUUGAAAUUGUUUCAUUCCAAAUUUAUCUCAAUCCAUGCAAUUCUAGCACAUAACACAAACUUGCCUACUUGUUAGACCCUGAAAAUGAGAACACUCAUAUCUAGACAAAUGUUGCCCAAAGGGUUGAUCUGGAACAAGAAUCUUGUCUUUCUAACAUUACAUGUAAGAUAAAGUGUUGAUAACUAAACAAUUCAUUCUGUCAUCUAGUUGAAAUAAAAGGGUCAAUGUGGUUAGAAUUUUCGUAUUCCAAGUAACCAGAGAUAUUGUGUUGAUCUUUAUGAGUAGCUAUACCUGAUAAUGCCCAUAGACUUCUCAUCAGGCAUGAGCAAUUUAUGAGCAGCUCAGUUCAUUUGCAAUCCUAAACAAAAUGAGGCCAAAUGUUGUACUAAACAAAAGGUGUACAAGCAUUCAAAUUGAAUCAAUCCAUUAUGUUCUUGAUAGCAUUUGAACCUGCAUGUUGGUAACUGGCCAAGAGGAUUCACCAUAGCCCCUACGUGGAUAGAAAUGAGUUGAUCAAUUGAAAUCCUAAAUUGCCUUUAUCAUAAACAGGAGCUAAAACAAAAGUCUUACAUUCAUCAAAAGACAAUCUACUUGUUUCAAAUUCUAUGUAAAAGAACAAUGGACUUGUUAAGUCAAGGAAAAAAAAAUACCCGCUGAGUGAAUCUAGACAAAUAGACCACUGCAAAGCAGCUAAUCCAUGAAGUUCACUCUACACAAAAAACAAACAUAUGAAAUGAAAUAAAUAAAAGAGCAAAAAUCUUGUGUAAUUAUUCUCUACACUAAAGAAAAAUUUGUAUAAUAACAACCCCAUCAAGUACUACACACCUAAUGUAAACUUAACUAAAUCCACCCUAGGGGCGAUUGGAGAAAGUCUGAAAAGACUACUUAGGUGCAAUGGUGCAGAGAAAUUUGAAGCUCUUGGAAGUAGAUUUAAGGACCGGGGAUUUUUAAUAAAAACAAUGGUUAUAACAGUAAAACUACUGGCCACUCGUGGCCACCUGUUUGCUGCUUUCAUUGUCCAACUGGAAUGGAACAUACAGGUGUUGGAUUAGCCUGGGUUUUUUGAAUUACCAAAAUUAUAAAUGCAAUGCUUCAACAUUCUACCUGCACAUAUGCAAACAGAACAAAGGUGUUGGAUUAAUCUGGUCACACAUAAGAGCACUUGGGUUUUGUAGUCACACUUCCAUGACAUGAAUCACAAAAACUUGCGAUACUGGGUGUUCCCAUGAAGUGAUACAUUGUAUCAGCUCCUGGUGCAGUGACAAAUAAACAAGUUUACAUGGCCAAGAUAAAGUUUAACACAGAAAAGAAGUAGAAAACCCCUUGAAGCAUUUUCAUAUUGUCUCUUUUUUUAAUAGCAAGAAGCUCAAAUUGUAUAAACAGCCAGUUUACAUUCCUUCCAGAAAAUACCUGAAAUGCCAACUUAUCCAUGACUUUCUCAUAAUAAGGCAAUGCUUCCUUGAGUUUUCCAAUAUUCAUCAAGGAGUCACCAUCUUUCAAUGCCUACAUAUAGAAACACUUAUGUUAUGCUGCCAAACAGACAUACAACACACAAAUUGUUGACUUUGCUUUUCCUUUUUCUUUUUCUUUUUUUUACUUUUUUUUUGUUAGAUUGGAACAUUGACUCAGCAAAAAUUUAUAACUCGGAGUAGAAGAAUAAAAAAAAAUCUCUUCCAAGAUUAGGUACAGGCACCUUUUAUCUAAUAUUUUCUAUGUUGUGUUUAAUCCAUGAUGAAUGGUAGGAGAAGUUAAAAGCAAAGUUCAAUUUUGAGUUUGAUUUUUCUUCUAUGUUUUAUGUAAAGAAGGUAGUACUUUGAUUGAAUCAAACCUGGUCACAUUCAGACUUUAGCUUUGGAUCGAUAUUUAAUCCAAUCUUAGUUUUGUAUGUAGCAAGUAACUAUCUAGUGUGUGCUUCUUUAGCAGCUUUGUCAUUCGCAAUUUCAAUAUCACCAUCUUAGACUCUCCAACCAAUUCUUUUCUUUUUUUCCUUUUAUUCUUCUACUUAUUUAUCUUUAACAUUGAUAGAGAAGUGAUGUGUUACAUUUGUUACAAGGUUUGAAAAUUUGUUAUGUUUUUUCACAUCUUAGACAAAAAUUUGUUAUGUUUGAAAAUUUGUUACAUUUGUUACAUUUAUUUUUCACAAAAAUAAAUAGUCUUCGUUGUCCACAUAUAUAUGAUGCAUCGAUGCUGAUGGAUGAUGUUUUUGUCUCUUUUGGCCUUAGUAUCUUUUCUUAACCUAGUUAUAUAUGGAUUAAGUUCCAUUGUUGCCUUAUCAGAAAAUAAUACAUGAUCACGUACAUGAAUUAACUAAUAUGGUUAGUAUUACUGACAGGACAGUUCUGAUAAAAACAAUUUACAAAGAAAAAGGUAAAAGUUUCAUUUCUUUCUCACCAUAUCAGAAAAUAAUACAUGAUCUUGUACAUGAAUUAACUACUAUGGUAGUAUCACUGACAGGACAGUUUUGAUAAAAGCGAUUUACAAAGAAAAAGGUUAAAGCCUCCUCCUAAGGGACAAGCAGAGACUAACUUUCAGAUGUUUCUUUACUUUAUUCUUCUCUUUUCUUUCUCUAGCUCCAAUCUUUUUUCCCAAAGUGUUGGCACUAACUUGGGCUUGCUGCACUCAAUUUAGAUGAUUAGUUUGCUUCUGUAGUUGGAAACUUUGGCAGUCCAAUUUUGUUUCCAACCCUGGUCAUAUUCAUUUCAUCCAAUCAGUAGCUCAAUAUUAAACCAAAUCCGCCAACAGGCCCCACCCCCUCCAAUCAGUAGCUUAAUCCUAGAAACAAAAUCAGCAACAUGAACCAAGAUGCAUCAAUUUCUCAAGUAAAAUGUAGAAACAGAAAAUAUCAUACUGUUUUUGAGAUGUUGCUGGGUCUAGGAAAAACCCCCCAUGUAGAAACCUUCAGCUUGUACAAAUCCGAGUUAUCAUCUUGGGUUGGCUUGGGAUUUGAAGAAGUUGUAUCCUCAAACUUGCUGGUGUCCUCAACAAUCAACUCCACCUCGGGCAAGUCCCCUUCUGGAAAGGGGUCUGAGACUGGAACCAACCCAGCCAGCAGUCCCCUGUCUGUCUUCUUAUCAAAAAAGUUGAGUUCUUUAUAGAUGUAAUUCCAGUUGGUUGUUAAAUAUGUAGGAAAGUAUAAGAAAUUAAUUAUUCAUGGAUGUGGGGAACCAAAAAAUUACAGAAAUAUGCAUACAACUAAGUUAUACAGGCUCAGUGAUUUCUGCAUACAACUGAGUUAUACAGCUAGCUCAUUGAAAUCACUGGUAGGAGAAAAUAAUUGUAACACUAUUGCCAAUUUAAUUUAUUAUUAUCCAUUAUAAGUUUUUCGUUUAUCUCAAAAUUAUUGAAUAAUAAAAAAGAAGUGCAGAAGCUACAAUAAUACGUACAGAUGGGUACGUCCACUACCAUACCACCAAAGCUACAAAAUUACCAUGUUGGAGUGAUCAAGUUUCAAAACUCAACCAAUUUCUUCGAUUUCAAUAUCUACUAAGUAUGGAGAGUGAAAUAUCAUAAUCGACAAGUCAUAAUCCUACAACAUCAUUCAAUAUGUAGUUUUAAAAAAUGUGGAGUGAAAAUAUAUAAAUGAAUAAAAAUAAAAAGAUUGUAAAAAUAAAUAUGGCUUCUUAUGAGAUUACUAUAUUAACCUUAAGAAAGGUGAAAAUAUAGAGGAGAUUUUUGUAAUUUAGAGUGGGUCCGUGGGUGGGUGACAAAGUUGACUAACCUGGAAAAUAAUUGAAGUAAUGGGAUCAUUUGCAUUCUGAAAAAUUCUGGAUUGAUCAGGAACAGUAGCAUGAAGAAGGCAGACCAUUGAUUGCCAUUGGUUUAGACUCAUUGAAUCCCCUAUGUACAUAAUCUUCUUCCCCUUGAAUCUCCUCAAGAAAUCUUGUCCAUCAAAUCUGCAAUUUCAUCAUCUCCACCAUGUAACCAGUAGCCAAAUAUAAUGACAAUAUAUCAUGUAAACUUUAUAAAAUUAUUUAACUUGUUCAGAAGGCCUAGCUUAUUACUAAACAAAUUAGAAAAAAAAUAUUUUUUUUAACUUUAUUUUCUUGGAAAAAUAUUAAAUUUCAAAAGCUUGAAAAAAAAAAUCAAAUUCUAAGUCACGAAAAUUGCCUUUAAAUUUUUACCUUGUCUUAGUCUAGUUUGUAAAUUUUUCUUAAAGUAAUAUUAAUUUUAAAUGGAUGGGAAAAAAACACCUAUAUAUGUUAGCAUUUUCUAGAGGUGGCAAUUCAUGUUGAUGGUUCAUGUUGAUAUCGUGUCAAAGCCUAGGUAUUAUACUACAUAACUCAACCCAAACCCAAUAUGAAUAAUAAUCAUAUUAAAAACCUAAACAAAAAAAACUAUCUAAUUAUUAAACAAAUAACACAUCGUCUAAUCCAUUUAACCUAUUUAAUUAUCAAAUUGAGUUACACCAACCAAAUCUAUUUAUUUAAAAACAAAUUUAAAAUUAAUCUAUUUAUAUAUUUCUACAUGAUUAAUGUUUCAACCAACAUGUUUAAAACUCAAUUAAUCUAUUUAUUUAAAAACUAAAUUAAAAUUAAUCUAUUUAUAUAUUUUUAUAUAAUUAAUAUUUCUAUCAAUAUGUUUAUAACUCAAUUAAUCUAUUUAUUUAAAAACAAAUUUAAAAUUACUUAUUUAUUAAACAUGUUAUGUAGGUCAACAUGAAUUUAACUCAAACUCAUUUAUAUUCUAACCAAAUCCAUAAAAAGUGUGUUAAGUUAGUGUGGUGUUGACAAAUAGUGUUAAACUUUACAACUCCACACAUUUAAUUUCCAUUAGAAAUGGAUUAAAAAGGGGAAAAAAAACCUUCAAAUGACAAGCCAUGAACAUUAAAUGAAAUUUAAGCUUUAAAUGUAUGAGUGUCUACCUCACAAAUCAAAGAAUUCAACACUUGUUUCAACCUCUCAACUAAGAUAAGUGAUAUGCAUUUUGCUUAUACAGAGAGUAUUUCCAAAGUUGAUGAUUCAAAUAAGGAAAGAAAAAAAGAAAAAAUAAUAAAAAAAUAAAAAAAUUAAAUUAAUAAAUUAAUUUUGUAUAUUUGUCCAAACUUUUUCAUUUAUUUUUUCUCUACAAAAAUUAAAUAAUUUAAAAAUAAUAAUUUUUUAAAUAAUUUUAAUUUUAUAUAUAUUGUUAUCCAUGCUAUAACAAAGAAUUUUUUUUUCUUUAAUAUUUUCCGACACCAAACAAAUAGAAUAUUAUAAUGUUACUCAAAAUAAAAUGAAUUACUAAGUAUCAAAUCAAUAAUGUUGCAACUAUUUUUAUUCAACUUAGCAAUUAUAACAACUUUUGAAAACGGAAAAUGAUUGUAGACCGCAAUGUCCCCAUACCUAGCCGUUGCAAAAGCAUUAGGAUCAAGAUGUCUCUAUAUUUUUUUUUUUUUCAUUUUUUCCAUAUUUCAUUUUUUUUUUUUAAAUUUAGUUUUCAACUCCAAGAAAUCUUGUCAUCAAAACUUUUCUAAGUCAAGCCAUACCCACUACUAUUUAUUGUACCUAAGAAAACUCUCUAUUCAAAACUCAACUCUUAAUUUCAAUUAAUAAUUAUUUCUUGCUUUAAAAUGAAUAAUUUUAUUUUUAUUUUUUUAAUAAUUUGAGACAAAUUUUUUUUGAAAUACUAUGUAUAUUAGAGGCAUUAAUUUUGGAGAUACUAUGUAUUCUUUUGUUUGAUUGGGUUAAAGAAUCUAAAUUAUUUUUAAGAUAUUUUUCCAAUAUAUUAUAUAAUAUACCUAAAAUAAAAUAAUAAAUAAAUAUUAAAUCAAAACAUUAUAAAGAAAAGCUCUAUGAUACUAAACGUGGUCUUGGAAGUUUCCAACCUGAUUUAUCUAUCUUAUAUAUGACAUGUUUUUUUUAAUUAAAAUAUGAAAAUUAAAUAAAUAAAUAAAUUUCUCAAAUAAAAAGAAAAUAAUCACACACCAAUGUCGGUUUUCUUUUUUAAUUUUUUUUUUCUUCUGCUAAACGUAAAAAUUGAAUACCUUUCAUAACAUGCAAUUGAUGUUAUCACCCCUGAACCCUGAACGCAGCAACACCCACCAGAAUGCAGGACCACCCCUGAACCCCAAGCCCCAUCUCUGUUUGUUUCCCGAGAAAUAUUCAGACAGGGUUACAAGGAAGAGGUGCGUAUAUAUAAAUCUACAUAUAGAAAGAGAGGGAAUCUGUGGGGGUGUUGGGAAAAUUAAGAGCUUGAUUACGUUAUCUGCACUUUCAAACAUUUUAAUUGUAAAUUUCCUUCCUUUAUAGUUUUCUGUCUUUUUCUUUCAUUAUUUGUCUGUUACAAUUAUGGUUUUACAUAUAUGGGAUUUUUUUAAUCUUCUAUAUUUCACAUGAAGCACAUGACAAACAACUCAUUUGGAGAAGUUGAUUUUUUCAAAAAUUUUCUUGUUGACCUUCUCUUGGUGGUAGAUUUUUCUCACAAUCCUAACAAAAGAAUAGUAAAGAAUAAGUAGGUGUUUGGUAAAUAACCUUAAUAACUUAAAAGUGACACAAUAACUUAAUUUAAGUUAUUAAGAACUCAUUUGAUAGUGAUUUUAAGAAGUGCUUUUAAUAUUUGUAAUACUUGAAAAAAUUUAUCAUUCAAGUGUUAAAAAUACUAGAAACGUUUUCUAAAAUCACUCACAAAUUCACACUAAGUAAAUUAAGCAUAUUUGAUAAAAUAACUUAAUGAUAUGAUAUAAAGUAAAAAAUAACUUUAAGUAAUAAAUAAAAGCAGUUAACUUAUUUUUUAAAUUUUCAUUUUACAUUUUUACAUCGUUUGCCCUAAUUACCUUUACUAUUCAACGACCUCUAUUGUUACUCAACCUCUUUUGUUAUAAUUAUAAUUUAUGAGGAUAAAUAUAUCAAUUUAAUAAAUUAAAGUAAAUUUUAAGUUAAUUUUAUCAAACAACUUUAAUACUUAAAAGUAAAAAUUAAGUGGUAAGUUUUAAGUUAAUAACUUAAGUAUUAUUUAACUUAAAGUCAAUUUAAGUUAUUAAGAAAUAAAUAUUAAAUUUUAUCGAACACUCCCUAAAUGAGUGUUUGAUAAACCAACUUUAUAACUUAAAUUAACUUAAUAACUUAAUUUAAGUCGUUAAAUAAAUUAAGUAUGUUUGGUAAAACAAACUUAAUGACAUGACUUAAAAUUAAAAGCAACAUUAAGUAAUAAGUAAAAAUAAUAAUUAACUUAUUUUAAACUUCAUAUCUUUAUUUUACCUUUUUAUCCUCAUCUGCCCUAAUUACCUUCACGAUCCCUUUUGCUACUCUAUGGCCUCUAUUAUUAUUUGACCUUCUUUGCUCUAGUUAUAAUUGAUGAAAUAAAUAUAUUAAUUUGAUGAUUUAAAAUAAAUUUUAAAUUAAUUUUAUCAAAUAACUUUAAUAGUUAAAGUAAAAAUUAAGUAAUAAGUUUUAAGUUAAUAACUUAAGUAUAAUUUAACUUAAAAUCAACCUAAGUCAUUAAGUAAUAAAUAUUAAGUUUUAUGUUUAAUAAACCAACUUAAUAAUUUAAAUUGACUUAAUAACUAAAUUUAAGUCAUUAAGUAAAUUAAAUAUAUUUAAUAAAAAAACUAAAUUAUAACACAUAAAGUAAAAAACUUAAUGAUAUUACUUUAAGUAAUAAGUAAAAACAAUUAACUUAUUUUUAAGUUCAUAUAUUUAUUUUACAUUUUUAUCAUCUUUUACCGUGAUUAGCCUACAUAAUCAUGCAAUAUAGUGCCAAAAAAAGUAAGACUAAGGUUGUGUUUGUUUUUUAGCUUAAUAGAAAAAACCAAAUAUUUUAGCUUUUUCUAUUCAGCUAAAAGUAACUCAUUGACAUCAACCAAUAUCAUUAAACUAAACUUAUUGAUAAUAAGUUCACUUUAAUUAUGUUAGUUAGUAUCAAUAAGGUAAUUUUAGCUGAAUAGAAAAAGCUAAAAUAUUUGGCUUUUUCUAUUCAGCCAAAAAACAAACACCACCUAAGUCAGAAUUCAAAGCCCAAAACUAAACAAUAAUAGCUCAAGGCAAUAAUGCAAACCCAAAGUGAAUCUAAAGACUAAACCCAAAGUAAUAUAUGAAAUUCAGAUCAAAUAAAUUCAAUUAGGCUCGAGCCCAAAUCAAAAGCAAGCCUACAAGGACAUCUAACAAUACAAGCCCAAAUGAAAAUAUAAUAAACUAAAGCCCAAUAAGCCCAAAUUAUAAAAAACCAAGUCCAAUGCCCAAAUGGAAUAAGCCCAAUAUCUAGGCCCACUCAUGGAUCAAAUUAAUCAAGCCCAAAGAAACAAAGCCCAGAAACAUGCAUUGUAGGAAUCAAUGAGACUUACCCAUGUCUCUUGAAGAGCCGAAAAUGAGGAAAAGGUAGCCAAGGGAGAAUGAUGCCAUGUCAGAGAUGGGUGGCACAAUGGACGAAGAUGGUGAUCAAUGGUGAGAAGAUGGAGUGGCAACCAUGGGCAGUGGUAGUGAGAGGAGCGACGACAUUGUGGAUGGAGAUAGAGGUGAUGGCACGAGGGUUUCCAUGGAGCUUAGGGUGUGGCCAUGGUGUUACAGCUGGUUAUAGUGUGGCGUGGCUAAUGGUGGUGAGUGGAGAAGGUGGUAUUACGGGCAACCCAUGACUACUGUGUGGAGACAGAGGAAUGGCAACGACUAGUGGGUUGGUAAUAGGGGAAAGGAAAGAAGAGAGGGAGGGACGGAGAGAGAGAGAGAGGCGGCAUGACUGACAAUGGCUAUAGGUUGUAGGACAAUGCAGUAUUGUCGAUGGUAGAUGGCGGGGACAGGUGGCAGAGGAUGCUGCCGGAGAUGGAGGUGGCGCCAGCUGUGGAAGGGAGGAAAAUAAAGGAAAGAAAGGCAAAGGAAAAAAGAAGAAAAAAGAAAAAAAGAACAAGAGAGGGAAAGAAGAAAGGGUUGGUUGUAAGGUGAAAAAACGAAAAAGAAAAGUAGAAUGCUCUCUUAGAUUUUUUAUUUUUUUUAUUUUUUAAUGGGUAGGGGAUGAGACUAAAAAGUAAAAACUGAAGGGCUAGAAUUUAAUUUUCCUAAUGGAUAUGAAUAUGGGCCCUAAAAGUAUGCUGAAAACUCAAAUGCAAUGGACUUUAAAAUAAAAAUAAAAGUGGGUGGGUUCGAAAUUCUUAACAAAAGGGACUAGAACAAAUUAUGAGGUUUACUACCAUAUCAAUGGAAAAACAUUAAAGAUAUUGUAUUUGUGUGUAAAAUGCAUAGUUUGAGAAGCUUAACUCGUGAUAUGUUCGGGAUAUUUGCGUACAAUUUAAUUACUUUAACCUAUAAUUGUGCUAAUUAUCUCUUUUAGAAUUAAUGUUGGAAGUUGGUAAGAUUUUAUGCAAAAUUGAAGUAUUCUAUAACUUUCACAUUAAUCUAAAACAUGGAAAACAAGAUUAAGGCUUAAUUACAAGUAUUUGAAUAAGACAAGUUCAGAGAUUGAUCAACAAUUUGAUACUAAGAGCACAUUUUGAUAUUUGGGGAUGAAACAAGAAAGAAUUUUUGAUAUGGAAUGCAAUAAAUAAGGAUGUAUCAAUUUGAUGAAGCCAGGCAAAUUUCGAUUUCUCAAUUGUAUUAGUUUAGAUACUUCUAUACCGAGACUAUAUUCAUAGUUUUGGACAAUGAUUUUAUCGGAUUCACAUUUCAAUAUACUAGGAUACAAGUAGGUUGGUAUUUCUUGGUGGUGGUUGGUAUCGAAGAAAAGCUCGACAAAGAAACAAACUCACUAGAAUCUUGAGAAUAAUAAUUUGAUGUGCAAAAUCAUAUUUUGAUAUGAGAACUAUUGUAUCGCACACUAUCACCUGGUAUUGACUUCAAUUAAGAAACCACUAGAAGAUUGGAUGAUUAAUUUUGAUAUACGAUAUGAUGUCAAUACAUGAUAACAUCAAGGUUCUUUUAUUGCAAUGCAUUAGAAUGUAUCAUUUUUACUAAUUGAAUACUGAUACGAGAACAAAAUGCAUAUUUUAUAUCACAGUUAAUAUCAAUAUUUUUAGGAAGUAUCAAAACUUGUUCAUGAACCGUGAUCAUAGGGAUCAAAAUUGAAGAUUUAGUUGUUAGAUUUUUUUAUGAUUAAUAUUGAGUUCUUCACAAGUUGUGAUUGGGCUAGAGAGUAAUCAAUUGCCUAUAAAUGGCUUGCUAUCUAGUCAUUUGAAGGGAGUUAGGGAAGUUACAUAGAGAGAUACAUAGUUUUAGAGAUUUGGAUUUUAGAUAUCAGAGAAAGUUCUUUUGUAAUUUCCUUUCACAUAUAAAAAAAGCAAACAUAAAAAGUUCCAACAGUGUCUUGAGCAUUGACCAACAUUGUUUAAAUGGGAUCUCCAAAGUAAGUAAUUAAUUGAGUAGUUGAUCUAGAUGUCUUCACUAAAACCUAAACAUAGCAUAUUUACAAGGAACAUCAUCACUUGGAAGUUCAAAAUGUUAGGCUAUGUUGGUUACUAGAAAAUUUAGGCUAUGUUUGAUUCCCAGAAAGUAUUAAGGAAAGAAAAAAAAAUGUUAAGGAAAAUGAUUUUCUCAUAUUUGAUUUUCUUAUGAAAAAUAGGAAAGAAAGUUAAAUAUAAUUAAAAUUAUGAAGAGAUUUGUAUAUUUUUAAAUUAUUUAAUCUUUAUAUAGAAGAGUUAAAUAAAUAAAUAAAUAAAAAUUUGAAGUAGUAUAUAAAAAUAAUUUAUUUACUUUAAAUCCAUUUUUUAUUUUCCUUAACUAUUUUUUUUUCUUUUUACUUUUCCUCUUUAUUUUCUUUCCAUUACAUUUUCCCUCAAACUUUCCAGAAACCAAACACGGCUUUAAAGAAAGCUGUAAAAGAAAAAAUAGAGAAGAAAAAAAAAUAAAAAAUAGAUGUAAAGUCAACAAACUAUUUUUAUAUACUAUUUCAAACUCAUUUCGCUUAAUUUAACUUUUCAAUAUAAAGAUUAGAUAAUUUAAAAGCAUAUACAUUUCUACAUAGUUUUAAUUAUAUUUAAUUUUUUUUCAUAAUACAACAAAAUAUAAGAAAAUUAUUUUUCUUAACAAAUUUUUUUUUCUUUCUCGUGCUUUUUAGGAACUAAACAUAACUUUAAAGUUUGAAUUAUUUAUUCUAAGUGGGUAUAAGACUUAAAGAGAUGCAAAAAUUCUAGCAUGUUCAAUUUAAAAUAGAUGAAAUCAUCCCUAAUUUGUAAAACCUUCACUUUUUUCUUUCACCCUGAAAAAUACUCAUUUUAGAUAAAAAUGCUCUUACUUUUUUCUUGCAAAAAUAAUCUUUUCUUUUAAAACAUAUGUAAAUAAUCAAAAUAUUAAAGGAUAUCCAUGUCGAAAAUGAGUUACUCUUCAAGUUCAAAAAUGGAAAAUGUUAGAUUUACAAAUUUGACAUCUUUUCAUCAUUUUAAUCAAUUAAUUCAAAAAAUAAAAAGGGAUCAUUUUGUUCAGUGUGUUACAACUCUCAAAGCAUCUUGAACACUCUUAAAACAUCUUGAAAGACAUCUAUUUUUGCUAUUUCUCUAUGAACUAUAGUGAUAGCUCUAGAUGAGGGCAUACUCAAUUUUCAUUUUUAUUUUAAAUCUGAUUUUGUAGUUGCCUUUUCUAUUAAUCUUUCUAAAAUGUAGAUUAUGUUAUUACCACUCAUGAAUCUAACAUUAUUUAUCCAUUUCCUUUCAUAAAUUAUUUCUUCCUUUAAUUCUUAUUAUUAUUUUUUUAGAUAGGUUGAAUUAAAUCGUGACUACUAUAUCCACUUUGUGACGAAUGUGUUUUCAUUUAUAGGAAUCCAAGGGUUAUCUCCUAGAUAUUGGAUACACUUCCCAUUUUUCUAUUUUUCUUCAAAAAUCACUUUUAAAAAAAAAUCAAAAGUUUCUUUAAAUAUUCUUAAUAUUGUUUGACCGUUAUUCUUUGAAAAUAUUUGUAGAAACAAAGUGAAAUAAAAACUAUUUUUAGAUAACAAAUAGAAGUUAUUUUCAUCAAUUUUUUAAAAAUAAAAUGAAAACAUAGAGAAUUAAAAAAAACCAUAAAAAACCAAAUAAAAUUAAACAUGAUAUCAACCUCUUUCAUUCUUCCGAUCUAAUAUCAAUACAAAAAAUCUUCAAAUAUUAUUAUUAUUUUUUAAAUUACACAUAUUUUUCUAAAUCUUUUUUUAAAAAAUAUUUCUAAUGUCAAACAUCCAUACUUUUAUAAAAUACCGAAAAAUCAUUUUUUAUUCUUUAACUUAAAAACAAAUUUCAUAAAAUAUGAUCAAACAAACCCUUACUUUUUCUAUAAAAGUCCUUUAAGAGUUUUUUAUUUUAAAAACAAAAAGCAAGUAAUAUAUGUAAACGAGCUCUAUAAUAAUGAAUUAUGGAAAUGAUGAGGAUGAUGAAUACAACGAUAAUGACCAUAAAGAUUGUCAUUUUAUUUUAUUGAAAGGGUAAUUGGUAGAGUUCAAUUAACAAGUAUUAUUUUCUAACAUGAAUUGGUAAGUUAAUUCACACGAAAGGUCUAAUUCUCAUCUCAAUUAUAAAUACGGGGGAUAUAAACCAUUAUUAAUCAUAAUUAAAACGGUCUUAAUACAAAUAUCAAUGAAGUAGGUUCAAGCAGUAACCUUUAUGCCGACCCCAUCCCACCCCAAAAACAAAAGGGAGUUCUCAUAUUGGGGCCAAACUGCCCCGACUCAUGUUUUAGUUGUUGGAUUGAGUCGUAUCAAACAGGUCGGGUACUUCCUUUUCUCCUGCUUAAUACAUGUACGUACUUAAACAUCUGUGAGUGAAGAGCGUAGAGAGUGCUCCAUGGAUCUUGUAGAGAGGGCAUUGCCCUAUACCUAUAAACCCAGUGAAAUGACAUAGGUACAAAGGAAAAUGGGAAAGUGGGAACCUCAAAGAAGUAGGUUAUUUGCUUUUCCAUAUUUUCGAAGUGUUGAAAGGCAGUAGGACCAUCAUCAACCUGACAUACCCAUGUGAGAGUCACUGUCAAAAGUUGCUUUUUCUACUGAGAAUGGAAUCAAUAUACUUUUAAAGAUGCUUUUUCUAUGGACAUGAGACUCGAUGCACUUAUAUUAGUUUUUGACCUUUUCUUUUGGAAAAUGCUUUAUUAUUGGACAAGCAUUUUAGCUAACCUCAAACCUGUUGACAAGUAUUAUACCAAGUCAAGACCAGUCAAUCAAAAUAUCUAACAAUAAAAUUGAGGUAGAAUGACGGAAAAUAACUACAAACAAAUUAAAUUUAGAUGAAAAUAAAUUUAUCUGAAUUAUGGGACUUUAUUAUUUCAACACUUCCAAAAAUAAUUUCAAAGAGUCCAAGAGUCACAUGAAUUGCCCUUCAAAAUCCCUCUUAACUGCUCUGUAUGAUACAUAGCCAAAGCCAAAGCCCCUUUACAGUAGGAUCAAACUGCCUUUCUCUGUAGAAUAAGAUGACCCUUCCCUUAUUUUCUUUUUCUUUUUAAUUUCGUAUAGUGGGUGUUUGUGUCCAUAUCUUCUUGUGAGUUGAACCGGUCGCUACAACAACAAUCUUACAACCUGUGGAAACUUUCCCUUCUCCUAUCUCUUUUGCUCUCUCCUCUCUCCCAUUUACUGAAAGUAUGUUUGUGGCUGAGGCAGUUGGAUCUUCCUUCCUUGGUGUGUUGAUUGACAAGUUGAUCGCCUCCCCGCUGUUAGAGUACGCUCGCCGGAAAAAAGUUGACACAACACUCGAAGAAUGGAGGAGGACGUUGACCCAUAUUGAAGCAGUGCUGCAUGAUGCUGAGAACAAGCAGAUCAGGGAGAAAGCAGUGAAAGUUUGGCUGGAUGACCUCAAAUCUUUGGCUUAUGACAUUGAAGAUGUGGUGGAUGAGUUUGAUACUAAAGCCAGGCAAAGGAGUUUGACAGAAGGCCCUCAAGCCAGCACAAGCAAGGUACGCAAGCUCAUCCCAACUUAUGGUGCUUUGGAUCCUAGAGCUCUGUCAUUUAACAAAAAGAUGGGUGAAAAAAUAAAGAAAAUCACAAGGGAGUUAGAUGCGAUUGCCAAACGGAGACUUGACCUUCCUUUGAGAGAGGGUGUUGGAGGGGUGUCGUUUGGAAUGGAAGAAAGGUUACAGACUACUUCUUCAGUAGUUGAGUCUCGUAUUCAUGGUAGGGAUGCUGAUAAGGAGAAGAUCGUUGAAUUGAUGCUGUCAAAUGAAGCAACCGGGGGUGAUAGAGUUUCUGUCUUUUCCAUAGUUGGCAUGGGCGGGAUCGGCAAGACAACCCUGGCUCAGAUCAUCUACAAUGACUGCAGGGUGGAGAAUCGUUUUGAAAAGAGAGCUUGGGUUUGUGUUUCGGAUGAUUUUGAUGUUGUAGGGAUAACAAAAAAAAUUCUUGAGUCCUUCACACAAAGUCAAUGUGAAUCUAAAAACUUGGAAUUGCUUCAAGAAAAAUUGAAGAAUGAAAUGAAGGAGAAAAGAUUUUUCCUUGUUCUAGAUGACGUAUGGAACGAGAAUCUCAACCAUUGGGAUGUCCUACAAGCUCCUUUUUACGUCGGAGCACAAGGCAGCGUGGUCUUAGUAACAACUCGCAAUGAGAAUGUGGCAUCAAUUAUGCGAACAAGGCCUUCUUAUCAGCUUGGUCAUCUAACUGAUGAAGAAUGUUGGUUAUUGUUCUCACAGCAGGCCUUCAAAAAUCUAAAUUCAGAUGCAUGCCAAAACUUGGAAUCGAUUGGUAGGAAGAUAGCAAAAAAAUGCAAAGGUUUGCCUUUGGCGGUGAAGACUCUUGCAGGUUUAUUACGCUCUAAACAGGAUAGCACUGCUUGGAAUGAAGUGUUAAACAAUGAUGUAUGGGAUUUGCCAAAUGAGCAAAAUAGUAUUCUUCCCGCUUUGAAUUUGAGUUAUUAUUAUCUCCCUACAACAUUAAAGCGAUGUUUUGCAUACUGUUCCAUAUUCCCCAAGGACUAUGUGUUUGAAAAGGAGAAGUUAGUAUUGUUAUGGAUGGCUGAAGGCUUCUUAGAUGGCUCCAAAAGAGGGGAAACUAUAGAAGAGUUUGGUAGCAUGUGUUUCGAUAAUCUAUUGUCAAGGUCAUUCUUUCAAAGAUACCAUAACAAUGAUUCUCAAUUUGUGAUGCAUGAUCUGAUUCAUGAUUUGACACAAUUUACAUCAGGAAAAUUUUGUUUUAGAUUGGUGGGCGAACAACAAAAUCAAAUUCAAAUUUAUAAAGAGAUUCGACAUUCUUCGUACAUUUGGCAAUAUUCCAAAGUCUUCAAGAAAGUUAAAUCAUUUCUUGACAUCUAUAGUCUACGGACCUUCCUAGCACUGCCUCCUUAUUCUGAUGCUGCUCGUAAUUUCUAUUUAAGCAAGGAGGUCUCACAUUGUUUGUUGUCAACAUUGAGGUGUUUGCGGGUUUUGUCUUUGAGUCACUAUGACAUUGAAGAAUUGCCCCACUCGAUUAAAAAUUUGAAACACCUACGCUAUCUGGACCUCUCUCAUACUUCAAUUAUAACACUGCCUGAAUCAAUAACUACUCUUUUCAACUUGCAAACGUUGAUGCUAUCAGAGUGUAGAUAUCUUGUUGAUUUGCCAACAAAAAUGGGAAGACUAAUCAACUUACGUCAUCUCAAAAUCGAUGGGACUAAGCUAGAAAGGAUGCCAAUGGAAAUGAGUAGAAUGAAAAAUCUUCGAACGUUGACUACUUUUGUUGUCGGUAAGCAUACAGGAUCAAGAGUUGGGGAGUUGAGGGACCUUUCACACCUUAGUGGUACACUUACCAUUUUCAAGUUGCAGAAUGUGAUGGAUGCUAGGGAUGCCUUUGAGAGUAAUAUGAAGGGUAAGGAGUGCCUUGACAAGUUAGAAUUGAAUUGGGAAGAUGAUAAUGCAAUUGCCGGUGAUUCACAUGAUGCAGCAAGUGUGCUGGAAAAGCUGCAGCCUCAUAGCAACCUGAAAGAACUCUCCAUUGGAUGCUACUAUGGUGCAAAAUUUCCAAGCUGGUUAGGGGAACCUUCAUUCAUCAACAUGGUGAGUCUACAACUCUUUAACUGUAAAAAUUGUGCAUCCUUGCCACCUCUUGGACAGCUACGGUCUCUCCAGAACCUCUCCAUUGUGAAGAAUGAUGUUCUGCAAAAGGUGGGGCAGGAGUUUUAUGGGAAUGGGCCUUCUUCAUUUAAGCCAUUUGGAAGCCUGCAGACUCUGGUGUUUGAGGAGAUAUCAGAGUGGGAGGAAUGGGAUUGUUUUGGAGUGGAAGGGGGGGAGUUCCCUCAUCUCAAUGAGCUCCGUAUUGAGAGUUGUCCAAAGCUGAAAGGGGAUUUGCCCAAGCACCUUCCUGUUUUAACAAGUCUGGUAAUUUUAGAAUGUGGGCAAUUGGUGUGUCAGCUUCCAGAGGCACCGUCCAUUCAGAAACUGAAUUUAAAAGAAUGUGAUGAGGUAGUGUUGUCCACCUGCCUUCAAUAACUGAGUUGGAAGUGAGUAAUAUUUGUUCCAUACAAGUGGAAUUGCCAGCGAUUUUGCUUAAGCUCACAUCUCUCCGGAAGUUGGUUAUCAAGGAAUGUCAGAGUCUUUCCUCUCUUCCAGAGAUGGGGCUGCCCCCCAUGCUUGAAACCCUUGAAAUAGAAAAGUGCCACAUUCUAGAGACCCUACCGGAGGGAAUGACUCAAAAUAAUACCAGUCUCCAGAGCUUGUACAUAGAAGAUUGUGAUUCUCUUACGUCUUUGCCCAUCAUCUCUUCAUUGAAAUCACUUGAAAUCAAGC